CCUACGGGUGGCAGCAGUGGGGAAUAUUGGACAAUGGGCGAAAGCCUGAUCCAGCCAUGCCGCGUGUGUGAAGAAGGCCUUCGGGUUGUAAAGCACUUUCAGUGGGGAAGAAAGCCUUGGGGCUAAUACCCUCGAGGAAGGACAUCACCCACAGAAGAAGCACCGGCUAACUCCGUGCCAGCAGCCGCGGUAAUACGGAGGGUGCGAGCGUUAAUCGGAAUUACUGGGCGUAAAGCGCGCGUAGGCGGUCUGAUAAGCCGGUUGUGAAAGCCCCGGGCUCAACCUGGGAACGGCAUCCGGAACUGUCAGGCUAGAGUGAAGGAGAGGAAGGUAGAAUUCCCGGUGUAGCGGUGAAAUGCGUAGAGAUCGGGAGGAAUACCAGUGGCGAAGGCGGCCUUCUGGACUGACACUGACGCUGAGGUGCGAAAGCGUGGGUAGCAAACAGGAUUAGAUACCCCUGUAGUC
rnacentral:rRNA from 1 species